rnacentral:rRNA from 1 species
AUUGAACGCUGGCGGAAUGCCUUACACAUGCAAGUCGAGCGGCAGCACGGGGGCAACCCUGGUGGCGAGCGGCGAACGGGUGAGUAAUACAUCGGAACAUGCCCAGUCGUGGGGGAUAACACUUCGAAAGAAGUGCUAAUACCGCAUACGUCCUGAGGGAGAAAGCGGGGGAUCUUCGGACCUCGCGCGAUUGGAGUGGCCGAUGUCAGAUUAGCUAGUUGGUGGGGUAAAGGCCUACCAAGGCAGCGAUCUGUAGCUGGUCUGAGAGGAUGAUCAGCCACACUGGGACUGAGACACGGCCCAGACUCCUACGGGAGGCAGCAGUGGGGAAUUUUGGACAAUGGGGGCAACCCUGAUCCAGCCAUUCCGCGUGAGUGAAGAAGGCCUUCGGGUUGUAAAGCUCUUUCGGCAGGAACGAAACGGCGAGCUCUAACAUAGCUUGCUAAUGACGGUACCUGAAGAAGAAGCACCGGCUAACUACGUGCCAGCCGCCGCGGUAACAC